AGUGGGAUAGCUGGUCAAAUGGUGGUUCCAUUCCAUGCUUUCUAAGGAAUCUCUAUAUUGCUUUCCAAAGUGUUUGCAUCAAUUUGCAGUCCCACCAGCAAU
rnacentral:pre_miRNA from 1 species